UCCUCCGGUUCAGCCAGACCUGGUCUAACUUCAGGUGUUUCUGGGCACAGAAAAGCGUAUUAAAGUGAGCUGAAGAGCAGGUGUGGGUAGACGUCGUGGUGUGUGAAAAGACGUUCAUUUCACAGGUCAGUUAACUGUUUUAGUUUGGCAUAAAGACUUUAAGCUAAUCCACACAAUCUCAUAAAUCUAAUAAUAUUCAAAUUUCCUGUUUGGACUAUCUGAGCUUUAUUUUGGAGACCAGAAAUCCCCUUUAGCUUCUCUGUCAUAACUUGGAGGAGAUACGUCAGCGUAAAAGCUACAGCCUGUCAGCCGAGAGGGGACUUUGUGAAAGUGAUACCUACUCCUCUGGAACUGUCCAACCCAACCAAGCGAGACAUUUUAAGCAUCUUAGCUCUAAAAUAUUUGAGUUUAAGCUAAAAAAGGAUUUGUCCCUGUCUCCUUGUCUUCAGAUCAUUCAUCCUGAGCCAUUCUCAGUCUUCUUUUAUUUAUUUUUUUUGUCUUAAAUGGAGCCAAGACAAGUGUUAGCAGGCCCAGGAGGACAAGUUUGAUGGGCUACUUUUAAUAGUUUUCUUUUCUCUGCAGACAUGUCAAGGGAAAGAAGUCACUCAUUUUUCCAGCUUAAUCUGGGAUAAAGAGGUCAUAUCAAGUUCUCAAGGAGCAGCAAGCAGCUGCGAUCGUAUCGACAAGACGGUGCAAAGUGAUGACAUAUCUGCAGAUUCAGCCUGCCUAACAAGACGUGUGUCACGGGUGACUGAGGACACGCAGCUGCGUGUUCAUCUCAUCAUCUGUAGCAUUGACAAAACUAACGCUCAGUCACUUGUUUUUUAUUCGAGACACAAAUGUGUCAGAAAUGGACCUGUUGUUGCGUCAAACUACAGUAGAAAACAUAAAUAACCGAUUUCAAAAGAAUGCAGACCUUAGGACAAAUAAAAGGAGUGUUUACAAGUUUAUGCUAGGCUGCAACCAACAAACUUUAUAACUUGAAAAAAUGUAACAAACAUUUUGUGUCUCUGCAUAUUUUAAAUGCAUAUUUUAAAUUUUUUCUGUUAAUUUCUCCUGUUGCGUUCAAUACUUGAAACACUUCUUUGGUUCUUAUUUUGAACUUGAACAAGGAGGCUAUUCAGCAGAGGAGGCCGUUUUCCAAAAACAUUUGAAGAUAUGAAUGAGGUCAGAUAUUUCCAAUUAAAGAUUUUGUAAGUACUUGCCUUAAAACGGGUGUAUUUAAACUCACAAGGCAAUCUUUUAUCUAUUAUUUUCCAUAUCUUUAUUUUUAAUUAAAGAGCCACAAUUUAUCAUGUGAUAAAUGUGAGUUUUGCAUUCAAAAGUCAGAUUUUAAAGGUGAACUUUAACUUUAUGUUUGACUGGCAGCUUAGGUGUAAAUUAACCACAACAUUCCUGCAACCUGACAUGACUCGCAUGCAUGCUGAGCUGGCUACAGAGGAGCGUGACUGCGCUUCGUUACCACGACAGACAAAAUACACACCUGAGAGUGAACUCCGGUCUUUUUGGUGGGAGUUCACCCACAACACGGCUAUCGUGCAGGUAUGGGAGAUAUGGGAGGGAAGGAUAAUGGUUACGGCUCUGGAGCUUUCAAUAUUUAACAAACGCUUGAUUUUGCUUUACAUUGUUUUGAACUUAGACAAAAUUAUAAUUUUAACAAGGAAAAGUAAUUUCUCUUAAAAAUGUGUUGAAAAAGUAAAUGUUGUCUUUGAAGUGCUGUACUGCAAAUAAACUUUUAUUGACUUUUUA